AGGUAGCCGGUUUAGGGCCGAAGGCCCCCCUCGGUAAAGCGCGUCCUUGGUAAGGACGAGACCGGGGGUUCAAAUCCCCCCUCAGGCUU
rnacentral:tRNA from 10 species